AUUGAACGCUGGCGGCAUGCCUUACACAUGCAAGUCGAACGGUAACAGGUCUUCGGAUGCUGACGAGUGGCGAACGGGUGAGUAAUACAUCGGAACGUGCCUAGUAGUGGGGGAUAACUACUCGAAAGAGUGGCUAAUACCGCAUGAGAUCUACGGAUGAAAGCAGGGGAUCGCAAGACCUUGUGCUACUAGAGCGGCCGAUGGCAGAUUAGGUAGUUGGUGGGAUAAAAGCUUACCAAGCCGACGAUCUGUAGCUGGUCUGAGAGGACGAUCAGCCACACUGGGACUGAGACACGGCCCAGACUCCUACGGGAGGCAGCAGUGGGGAAUUUUGGACAAUGGGCGAAAGCCUGAUCCAGCAAUGCCGCGUGCAGGGUGAAGGCCUUCGGGUUGUAAACUGCUUUUGUACGGAACGAAAAGCCCCGGGUUAAUACCCUGGGGUCAUGACGGUACCCAAAGAAUAAGCACCGGCUAACUUCGUGCCAGCCGCCGCCGUAA
rnacentral:rRNA from 1 species